CGAAAAGGAUUAACACCACGAUUUGUGGAAAAAAGCUCAAUUACGGGGCACUUGGUAUGGGGUCCGCCUUUGAUUUUGGACUAAUGGACUGCAGCAUCACCGGUCGGGAAAAGAUGCAUUGGCUGCCGAUGGAUUACAACGAGGUCCGCUGCAUCAUUGAAGGCUUGCCGGAAAACAUACAAAAGCUGGGAAAACUUCGCGUGAUGGUGUAUAAAAGUGCAUGCAGCAAAGAGUUCUUUUUCUGCGCCACGGACAACCCCCGUUCGCUGCGAGGAUCAUUUCUGGCCGCGGAGCUCAACAAAACCCACCCCGUAUAUCCAAACGGAACGUGCGCACAUUUCGAGUACAAAAUGCAGCAGAAGAAGGUCGUGGACAUUCGACUGGAAAUCGCAGACUGUAGAGUCAAAGUGUACAUGUUUUGCGAGCUCAAAGAUUGAAGGGAAAGUUUAACUAAAAAAAAUCAAAUGUUUACAUUUGAAAAUGAACACAAUUUACCCUUUGAUCUGUAAAUUUAUGACAGCUGAUGCUUUGUGUCCCAUAUUAUUUAAGCAAUUUUCAACCCCACUUAAAAUCGGUUUUCCCAACCAUUUUGAUGAUGAUUUCUUGAAACGAGCAUUAUAAUAAGUUAAAUUAUCCAAAUCGGAAAAGCUUUAAUGAAGUUCAAUUAUAAUUAUUAUACUUUAUAUUACUUUAUGACCUGCACUUCAUCAAAGAACAAUUACCCGCUUUGCAGAAUGAAUUUUGAGACAAACUCUAUUCUUGGAUAAACUUCAAUUCCACGAUUUAGUUACAGACCCAAAUAAAUAAAAUCAGUGAAUCUUUCGCAACCCUCCAAAAUCCGAAAUAGUUAAAAUGAUAUUUAAAUUUUGAAUUUAUAUAUUUAGUUAAAAAUUAUUUUCCGCAGCCUAAACUCAGAUUAAGUGGAGGUUUUUUUUAAUUUUAAGAAAUAUGCCUUUUGGAGAUAAAAUAAACGCAGCAGCAUCCAACUUUCACCAUCGCAUCAAUGCAAUUUAGAGAACCUUUUCCAUCAUUGCGCAGUUUUAUAUAUUAAUCACAAUUUCAUACAGGGUUGAGGCGCAUUUUACGUGUACUGCAUUGCAUGCAUUAUAUUUUAAAUUGUAUUGUGGGUUUGUGAGUCGAGGAGCCCAG